rnacentral:rRNA from 1 species
CUCCUACGGGAGGCAGCAGUAGGGAAUCUUCCACAAUGGGUGCAAACCUGAUGGAGCAAUGCCGCGUGAGUGAAGAAGGUCUUCGGAUCGUAAAGCUCUGUUGUUAGAGAAGAACACGUGCUAGGUAACUACUAGCGCCUUGACGGUAUCUAACCAGAAAGUCACGGCUAACUACGUGCCAGCAGCCGCGGUAAUACGUAGGUGACAAGCGUUGUCCGGAUUUAUUGGGCGUAAAGGGAGCGCAGGCGGUCUGUUUAGUCUAAUGUGAAAGCCCACGGCUUAACCGUGGAACGGCAUUGGAAACUGACAGACUUGAAUGUAGAAGAGGAAAAUGGAAUUCCAAGUGUAGCGGUGGAAUGCGUAGAUAUUUGGAGGAACACCAGUGGCGAAGGCGAUUUUCUGGUCUAACAUUGACGCUGAGGCUCGAAAGCGUGGGGAGCGAACAGGAUUAGAUACCCUGGUAGUCCACGCCGUAAACGAUGAGUGCUAAGUGUUGGGGGCUUUCCGGCCCUCGGUGCUGGAGCUAACGUAUUAAGCACUCCGCCUGGGGAUUACGACCGCAAGGUUGAAACUCAAAAGAAUUGACGGGGACCCGCACAAGCGGUGGAGCAUGUGGUUUAAUUCGAAGCAACGCGAAGAACCUUACCAGCUCUUGACAUCUUCUGACAACUCUAGAGAUAGAGCGUUCCCUUCGGGGACAGAAUGACAGGUGGUGCAUGGUUGUCGUCAGCUCGUGUCGUGAGAUGUUGGGUUAAGUCCCGUAACGAGCGCAACCCUUGUUGUUAGUUGCCAGCAUUAAGUUGGGCACUUUAACGAGACUGCCGGUGAUAAACCGGAGGAAGGCGGGGAUGACGUCAAAUCAUCAUGCCCCUUAUGAGCUGGGCUACACACGUGCUACAAUGGAUGGUACAACGAGCAGCGAUCCCGCAAGGGCUAGCUAAUCUUUCAAAGCCAUUCUCAGUUCGGAUUGCACUCUGCAACUCGAGUGCAUGAAGUCGGAAUCGCU